UCAAUACCACUGUUUUUACCAAUAAUAUUCUGGAUUCUAUACAUUUAUCAGGUUUAUAAACAGACAUCAAGACCAGUGUUUUUAUUAAUGAUAUUCUGGAUUCUAUACAUUUAUUAGGUUUAUAAACAGACAUCAAUACCACUGUUUUUACCAAUAAUAUUCUGGAUUCUAUACAUUUAUUAGGUUUAUAAACAGACAUCUAAAUCAAUGUUUUUUCCAGUAAUAU